rnacentral:rRNA from 1 species
GAUGAACGCUGGCGGCGUGCUUAACACAUGCAAGUCGAACGAUGAAGCCCAGCUUGCUGGGUGGAUUAGUGGCGAACGGGUGAGUAACACGUGAGUAACCUGCCCUUAACUCUGGGAUAAGCCUGGGAAACUGGGUCUAAUACCGGAUAGGAGCGCCUACCGCAUGGUGGGUGUUGGAAAGAUUUAUCGGUUUUGGAUGGACUCGCGGCCUAUCAGCUUGUUGGUGAGGUAAUGGCUCACCAAGGCGACGACGGGUAGCCGGCCUGAGAGGGUGACCGGCCACACUGGGACUGAGACACGGCCCAGACUCCUACGGGAGGCAGCAGUGGGGAAUAUUGCACAAUGGGCGAAAGCCUGAUGCAGCGACGCCGCGUGAGGGAUGACGGCCUUCGGGUUGUAAACCUCUUUCAGUAGGAAAGAAGCGAAAGUGACGGUACCUGCAGAAGAAGCACCGGCUAACUACGUG